CCUAUGGUAAGCAGCAACAGCGAACCCGCAGAAGUCAGCAGACGCCAUAGUAGCCGAGGCCUUAAAGCUCGUUGGUCUUGGUGAAGGGC
rnacentral:ncRNA from 1 species